CAGGCUUCAAAACCUUUUCUUUGCAGGGCUUGGCAGACUGAGGAGUCCGGCUUGGCUGUCCUGUGCCCUGCAGCUGCUCCUGAGCCCCUUGGAAAAUGCUGCUCUCCCGGUCACCAGAGGGACUGCCAGCCCCUGCUGUGUCCUGUCGAAGCCACCGCGCCCUGCUGGGUGUGCUGGUGCUGCUCUGCUGACGGCUCCUGCAGGAGGGACCAGCAGCCAGGUCACCACUCCUUCCAGGACGCUUUGUCCAGCGCAGUGGUGACGGAGGUUUGAAGGGAUGGGGCAGGACGUGUGAAGCACCUGGAGUUACCACAUGGAGGAAGCUUUGCAAGAACACAUGUAAAUCCUCCCAGGAUGUGCAUUUUUAUCCCCCACCAUCCACAGCUGGUGUCCCACUGCUGCUGGUGAGCUGCCAGCACUGGCCUGGUCCUGCUCUCACCCCAAGCUCCACAGCCCAGCCGGAGCCAGCCUGCUCCAGCAUCCUCACCCCAACAGGCUGCUCCUGCUGGCCGUGUCCAGCCUCGUGCUGGGAGCCUCAGCAAUCAGAUCGUUUAAUAACCAUCUCACUUCAGGCUGGUUUGUGUAAAGCAUUUUACCUGGCUUUAUUUCUCGCAUUGCUUUGUAUUCCUUCAAACUCCAAACCCGCAAAUCGAUGCGGUGCCGCUAUUUUUGCCUCUAAAAUGUUUACUCCUGGCUCUCUUUAGGACCUAAAAGGCUGAAAACUGCAUCAUAAUUGUCUAAUUAGUCCUAAUGCUGCGUAGUGUUGACUGUUUAGUUACCAUAUAUUGUGUACAGAACUAAUUGUGGUGAAAGUAAAUGAAUGUGAAGGAAACAAACAAGCUACUAGAAAAUAAUUACUUGGAGUGUUUCUUUUUAGUACCUGUACAGCAGAUUUCAUUAUAGUCAACAGCUUCUAAAGCUGCUUGAAAUAGCGGUAUUUGUCAUUUUCAUAGAAACUUGAUAAUGACAUUAAUUUAUCUUAAUGGUCUGUUCUAUUGUUAUAAAUAGUAAAAUUAGCUUAAAUUGUCUUGCUUUUGCUGCUUUUGGAUGGCUCCAAAGGGCCCCACAACAGCAGAUGAGUAGAUAAUUUGGUGUGCUUGACAGAUUUCCAAUAAUUUGUUAUGUGGAACAUGAGGUAAUGCUAGUACCAUUAAUGUUCAUUUUCCUCUAAAUUCAUUACUGCCCUUUUCCCUUUUAUCUUUUUUAAUGUCUGGGCCAUUUUUCUAUAUUUCAAGUGGAGCUACAAAGCCUAUUCAUAUUCAGCUAUAGUAGCUAUUAACAUUCUGCACAUAGAGAACAUCAUGUAGGAAAACAACUCUUUAUGAAAUGAUGAGGCUGGUGGCUAUUUAUGCUGAAAAGUAGGCAAAAUGGGUUGUUUGCUGGUAUUAGGGAUUGGCUGUAAUUAAGUCAAAUGUAAUUUUAAAGAAAUUUAAAUGUUUUCAUUUUUAUAGCCAAGGUAAAACACAAUUCAGGGAAAUUCUAAGAUGGUGUAAAUGCAUUAAUAAAAACUAUUUUCCCUGUUUUCUACUCCUCCUG
ensembl:lncRNA